rnacentral:rRNA from 1 species
AUUGAACGCUGGCGGAAUGCUUUACACAUGCAAGUCGAACGGUAGAGGGGGCAACCCCUCGAGAGUGGCGAACGGGUGAGUAAUAUAUCGGAACGUGCCCAGUCGUGGGGGAUAACGUAGCGAAAGUUACGCUAAUACCGCAUACGACCUAAGGAUGAAAGCGGGGGAUUGCAAGACCUCGCGCGAUUGGAGCGGCCGAUAUCAGAUUAGGUAGUGGGUGGGGUAAAGGCUCACCAAGCCAACGAUCUGUAGCUGGUCUGAGAGGACGACCAGCCACACUGGACCUGAGACACGGUCCAGACUCCUACGGGAGGCAGCAGUGGGGAAUUUUGGACAAUGGACGAAAGUCUGAUCCAGCCAUUCCGCGUGCAGGAUGAAGGCCCUCGGGUUGUAAACUGCUUUUGUACGGAACGAAAAGGUCUCUCUUAAUACGGGGGGCUUAUGACGGUACCGUAAGAAUAAGCACCGGCUAACUACGUGCCAGCCGCCGCCGUAA